UACGUAGGGUGCAAGCGUUAAUCGGAAUUACUGGGCGUAAAGCGUGCGCAGGCGGUUUGGUAAGACAGAUGUGAAAUCCCCGGGCUUAACCUGGGAAUUGCAUUUGUGACUGCCCGGCUAGAGUGUGUCAGAGGGGGGUAGAAUUCCACGUGUAGCAGUGAAAUGCGUAGAUAUGUGGAGGAAUACCGAUGGCGAAGGCAGCCCCCGUGGGAUAACGACUGACGCUCAUGCACGAAAGCGUGGGGAGCAAACAGG
rnacentral:rRNA from 1 species